UCAAAGUUGAAAAAACGGCAAAUCCAUAAAGAAAAUACACUCUUAUGAAAAAUUCUUAUUGAAGUUUUGGCGAUAUGUAACCCCUAGAAUUAAAAAAUAAUAAUUUUCUGGGGAAUCCUCUCACUGUCGAAUGACGAGAUAAAAUGCAAAUUUCCCGCUUUGGGCGCAUGCGCAAGAAUCUAGGCAAGUAGAACGUAAACAUAAGCGGCAGAAACAUGGCUUCCGAAGCCAAGAGAUGUCGGCCUAGAAUUGUAACGAGUUCGGCAACAUAGCGACGUAAAUAGAAAUGGUCACAGGUCAACCCGAUUAUACGACUGGGGAAACAACCCACUAGGUGGAAGACAUUCAAUGAAGAAAAUUGUUUCUCUACAAACGAGCAUGCAGCACGGAUUCUUCUGGAUAAGUGUGCACUUCAUUGACACAAGAAGUUCAUGCAGGUGAAGACAUCCCGACACCAGCUGAAACUUCUAUGGGACCGCCAUCACAUGUGUGCACCCCUACACCAGUAACAUCUACGCCUGCACAUGCCCAUAAAGAACCUAUAGCUAUAGAUAGACCUCCGAUGUCUCAGAUAUAGAAGCUCAGUCAUCACACUCGUCUGAUUUAUCUUGUGUGGAAGCAUUACAAUCAGACUCCUAGAGUAACAUUAAUGCCAGCUUGCUUUCCCAUUACCAACAGAAGGCUAAAGAGGAUGACACCUCAUUUAUUGAUAUACCUCAGACACAUCAACCUGAACACUUGCCAAUGGCUGAAGAUCCCAUAGAAAUUGAAGAGGUUGAUGUUGAUGAUGAGCUUGCAGAGGAUGAAGGAGACAUUGUGGAAACAGACACUCAAAAUGAUAGUGUUGAAGAAAGGAAAUCCAUAUGCUUCCAAAGUGCUCUGUUGUAACUCACUACAGUUCGAAUACCCACAACUUGUCAAAGAAAAGCAUGUGGUGCAAAUAUCAUUCUCCAAUGGAGAUAUGUUGGAUGUGCAGUACAGUUUAAAUGAAUUGGAGGAGCAGCAUUUGGUUCUAGUCCUGGAUCCUCUGGUUCACCUACAUUUUCGCAAAGGUCAAAAACUAGGCCUGGCUGACGAUACACUAGCUGAAGAACUAAAUUUAUCAGUGGCUUUGGGUCCAUCCUUCUGAUUAUAUCCUAAUACAUAAAACAAUUAUUAUAGAAAAAACCCAUGUGGGUGGGAGUACUGUAGCAUUCUAAUGUAUAAAAAUAACUGUUUUUCCUUAUUUUUGGUUUUUGAGUUGAUAAAUUUUAAUGCACUUAUUAACUUAUCUAUUUUCCCUCAAAUUUCAUCCCAAAUUUUUCUACUAAGGUUUUAUUUAAGGUAUGUAUGCGUUUUUUGAUAGUUUGUGGAAGUAAGUAUGGUGUAAAUGUGGUGUUCAAUUUCAGAACAUGUAGGAGGUAGGUGUUCACUUAAUGGUGUAUUGCAGGUGUUUACAUUUCAGUACUAGUGUGUGUUUGAGAGUGUUCACUUGACAGUAAAUGCAGGUGUUCUUUCAACAUUGUGUGUAGGAAGUGUUCAAUUAUCAGUUUGCAGGAAGUGUUCACUUAUCAGUUUGUGUAGGAAGUGUUCACUAGCAGUGUGUAUAGGAAGUGUUCACUAUCAGUGUGUGUAGGAAGUGUUCACUUAUCAGUGUGUGUAGGAAGUGUUCAAUUAUCAGUGUGUGUAGGAAUUAUUCACUAUCAGUUUGUAGGAAGUGUUCAAUUAUCAGUGUGUGUAGGAAGUGUUCACUAUCAGUUUGUAGGAAGUGUUCAAUUAUCAGUGUGUGUAGGAAGUGUUCACUAUCAGUUUGUAGGAAGUGUUCAAUUAUCAGUGUUUAUACGAAGUGCUCACUUGUGAGAAUGUGUUUGAGGUGCACGUGUGUACUAACAUUGUGUGUAGUUAUUAUUAACUUAUAAUAACAUUGUGUUCAUAGAUGGUUCAUUCUGAUAAAUGUGUUAAUCAAGUGUCUAGUUGCAUAUUUUUUCAAUAUUCUGUGAACUAAAAUGAAAUACCCCCAUGUGUAAUGUAAAUACCUACCUAGAGAAACAGGUCUUAUAACCAUACCAUUCACUUGGUUGGUUAAAAAUUAGGUGUUCAUACACAUAUGGGAAGUAUGUUUGAUGUGUGAGAGGGUCUGUGCAUUUUUGGUAAAAUUUAACACUUUCAGUGAGUAAUAGUAUAAAUUGUCUCCUGAAUGCUUUGGUAAAAUGUCUACUGUUCUUUUUGUCUGUGUACAUGCCAAAGAAAUAUCAAAAUAAAAAAGAUAUGAAAAGAAAUAA